GAUGAACGCUGGCGGCGUGCUUAAUACAUGCAAGUCGAACGAAGUCAGUAGCAAUAUUGGCUGAGUGGCGAACGGGUGAGUAACGCGUUGGUGACCUGCCCCGAAGAGAGGGAUAACAGUUCGAAAGGAUUGCUAAUACCCCAUGUGGUCGCAAGAGUUAGAGGUCUUGCGUCUAAAGGAGUAAUCCGCUUUGGGAGGGGCCUGCGUCCCAUCAGCUAGUUGGUAGGGUAAUGGCCUACCAAGGCUACGACGGGUAGGGGGCCUGAGAGGGUGGCCCCCCA
rnacentral:rRNA from 1 species